GACGAACGCUGGCGGCGUGCUUAACACAUGCAAGUCGAACGGAAAGGCCCUGCUUUUGUGGGGUGCUCGAGUGGCGAACGGGUGAGUAACACGUGAGUAACCUGCCCUUGACUUUGGGAUAACUUCAGGAAACUGGGGCUAAUACCGGAUAGGAGCUCCUGCUGCAUGGUGGGGGUUGGAAAGUUUCGGCGGUUGGGGAUAGACUCGCGGCUUAUCAGCUUGUUGGUGGGGUAGUGGCUGACCAAGGCUUUGACGGGUAGCCGGCCUGAGAGGGUGACCGGCCACAUUGGGACUGAGAUACGGCCCAGACUCCUACGGGAGGCAGCAGUGGGGAAUAUUGCACAAUGGGCGGAAGCCUGAUGCAGCAACGCCGCGUGCGGGAUGACGGCCUUCGGGUUGUAAACCGCUUUCGCCUGUGACGAAGCGUGAGUGACGGUAAUGGGUCAAGAAGCACCGGCUCCCUACGUG
rnacentral:rRNA from 1 species